rnacentral:rRNA from 1 species
UACGAAGGGGGCUAGCGUUGUUCGGAAUUACUGGGCGUAAAGAGCGUGUAGGCGGUCAGGUAGGUCCGUUGUGAAAACUCGAGGCUCAACCUCGAGACGCCGAUGGAAACCAUCUGACUAGAGUCCGGAAGAGGAGAGUGGAAUUCCUGGUGUAGCGGUGAAAUGCGCAGAUAUCAGGAAGAACACCGGUGGUGUAGACGGCUUUCUGGACCGUAACUGACGCUGGGACACGAAAGCGUGGGUAGCAAACAGG